rnacentral:lncRNA from 1 species
AAUAAAGAAAAUGGGAGAAAUUCACAGUACCAAAAUUAUAAAAAUAUGUGUAGAAUUCGUCCUUUCUCCCAAUCCUCAUCAAUUUCCAUAAUCCCUUCUUCUCCCAACAAUUACAAUUCCCUUUACCCUUCUUCUCCUAACACUAGAUUUCAUAACCUUCUUCCCAAUUUGGUCAUUCUCCUCUCUUAUAACGACCCCACGAAGCUGAGAGAAUAAUUGCAAAGAAGAACCCCACGGUUUUAAGAACACCACACCUUGGAGAACGCCACGACUUUGGUAUGGUAACACAAAACCCAAUUUAUGAUUAAUUCUAUUGUUCUGUGUUAAUGACAUGUUGCUCUCUCUCCAUGCAUGCAUCUUCUAUUUAUGUAGUGUUGCUAUCUCUAUGCAUUCAUAUUCUGUUCAUCAUGUUAAGCAUGGUUUAUGUUCGGGGUGUUCAUAAUCAGUUGGGUCGGUUUUCAGGCAAAAAGUCAUCCAAACUAAAAAAAGUAAUAUGCGGUAUGAUUCUAUUUGAUUGAUAUACAUUACGAAAUCUGAUCCAAAAUUUAUCUGUGGAUUCGGUCUGAUUUGUUUUAGUUUUUUAAUAAAAAAAAUAACAAGUCUAACACACUUUUAAAGUGUCAAAUUCACAUAAAAAAAAUAUGUCUAUUUCAAAAUAAUAAAUUUAAUAUCUUCUCAAAGUGUCAAAUUCACAUAAAAAAUCAUUAAGUUACUCCAAGACUCCUAAUACCAAGUGUUAUACAUGCAAACAUUUAAUUGAAUAAUAUUUAUAUGAAUUAAAAAUAAGAAUGACAACAGAAAAAUAAAACACGAGGAAAGCAAGACAAGUAACAUACUAAAAUAAUUUUAACAAUUAAAAUUUUUAAUAAUAAUAAGUAAUAAUACUUUUAACAAAUAUAAAAUAUAAAAACAAUGUACAAUUUAAAUUAUCAAUUGUAAGAUUAAUUAGAUUCAGAAAUGAAACAAUCUUCAUUUUCGUGUAUAAGUAAAUAAUACUAAUUUGCUUCAUUCAAGGACAAAAGGUGAGUUGCACUAUUUGAGUUUGAGUGAAAGUUAGAAAAAUUGCUUAAUUUACUGGGAAUUGAACAAUUAUAAAAUAAGUUGUAGAACUCAUUUAAAGACAAUAAAUAUUUUGUACGGCUGAGAAUGCUCUAAUAGCACAAAUGUUUUGCAAAAUGUUAUGAUGUUUGGGUACACCAUGGGGAGUGGAUACAAAUUUCUUUGGAUAUUGGUGAUGACAUGAUAGAUAAAGAGGACUUAUGUGAGGAUAUUUCUACUUUAUUACGGAACAAGAAAUCUACCUAGAUGUGAAGACUUUUGUACUCUAUCAUUCACAUUGUUGUCGAUGAUAGAUGGUGCUUACCAAAAUUAAGCCAUUAUGGCGUUGUGGAUGGUGUUGCUGGCAAAUAGCGAAUAUCAUCAUGGUGGUUAACAAAAAUUAAGUAAAAACAUAGCAUAAUAGAAAAAUAAAAUAAUAAUACAUAAGACAACAACCAAACACUAAGAAUGUUUAAUAAAAGUUAUUAAGUAUCAAUAUCUCAUAACUUUAUAAGCUCACUAGAAAAUUAAAAUUAGGGAUACUAAAAAAUAAAAUGAACAAUACUAACAAGUCCUAUAAAGACCCACAACUAAAAUCAAAGCGAAACACAUAUAUUAAAGGUAAAAGAUUAAUUAUUCUAAAAGAUUAAAAAAACUGCAAUUCUAGACAAAAAAAGCAGUAAUUUUAGGGAAAAAAAGUAAACUGAAGUUCAUGGAAAAACUAUAGUUCAAAAUAAAAAAGUGGAAUGGAGAAAAAAGAAAUAUGUAUUGACGAACUAGUUUGACAAAUCUACAAAGAAUAAAAGUUUAAGAAAAAUAAUAUAAAAUAUUAGUUUAUAAAAAGUUAAUAGAAAAGGUCUAAUUUGCAAGUAGGGAUUGGCGACGACGACAGACGACAAUAUUAGACAACGACAAUGAUUAAGGUUUUAGAGAAACAACAUUAAGGAGAGAUUAUUCACGAAUAGAAACAUUUAGGGUUUUUAACCCAAAAUUGGGCCAAAAAAACUCAAUCUGGGUUGCUAUCUUUUUCAAAAAACCUACCUAGGAAAUCUCAUUUACAUUGUUUCCACCUUUGCUACCAUGGUGCCUCCACCGCCAUACUGCCAUGGCAGCAUGUAAAUGGCGGACAAAGCCAUUUAGUGGAAAUUUUCAAAUAGCUAAUGGCGAUUGGCUAGAAAUCACUACCGCCAUCCGCCAUAGCGACUAUUUAACAACACCGGCCAUUCAUGAUUUGAAUGUACUUGGUCCAAUGUAUUCAUGGGUGGAGCACUGCCUCAUUCACCACACUCUUAUAAUUUUUGAAAAAAGCAUGACCUGAUAUAAACAUUCUUGAAUUUAUUAACAAGACAAAGAUCAAGAUUAAGGAUUUAGGCUUUGACUAUAAAAAGUUCCAUGCAUGUCCAAAUGAUUGCAUGCUAUUCUAGAAAGAGCAUGAAAAGAAAAAUUCAUGGUGCAUUUAUGAAGUUUCAUAGAGGAGGAAAAUGCUCAAACUGAAGGGUGUGAGUCCAAGAAAUUGAAAGAUGAUAAUAGAGUUCCUGCAAAAAAUUUGAGGCAUUUUGUUAAAGUUGUUAUGAUUUUGUAUGUGAGUUAAUCGAUUAACAGUGUGGUUAAUCGAUUAACUUGUUGGUUAGUUAGUUAUUUUUGGUUAUGGUAGAUAGUUUUUUCCUUCAUUUUAUAUAAAAGAUUCAUUGUGACUUUCUGCUUUCAUCUAUUUAAUACUCAAUUCAAUAUUCAUUUAGUGAAUGAAAAUCAUAUCCUAUUUUUGCUCUUGAUUCUUAACAUGGUAUCAGAGCAAUAAUUAUUCUUUAUGAUGAUUUCUGCUUAUUCCCUUCAUCUUCCUCACUCUGUUGUUGUAAUCUUUCCAUCCCUUCCAAGAUUCGACAAAGAAUCAUCGUCAUGACCUAGUUCGUGUUCUCAUCACUGGUGCUGCAAGGCAAGUUAGCUAUGCUCUUGUCCCGAUGAUUGUUGCAUCUGCUUUCUUUUGUGCCUCUUCAAGGUCCUUCUCUUUCUGCUUGCAUAUUUUGUCAAUCUCAUGAGCCAUCUGCUCUGUUUCAUUGAGAAUUCUUUGAACUUUGGCUAUCCUCUCGUCAAAUAAUUAAAUUAGAGAAGGAGAAACAAAACGUUGAUGAAAACAAAAAUCAUCUUAAAAGGCAAAGUUUCAUGUUAUACAAGCAGAUAUAUACAUGUUCAAUAAGGAGGAGGCCAAACAAAUGGAAUUCUAGAAGUAUAUUAGAUUAUGCUACGAGUCAUUGCUCAAAGUGGGGCUUCUUUCUUGGUAGAAUGUCACCUGGAGUUGUGACAUUGUAGUUUACAAAAGGUGGAACCAUUUACAAUUACAAGUAUAAAAAAUUCUCGUAUCAAUCUUCUCUAUGAUCUUUCAAAGUAUCGUCUCUGCAGCUUUGAUGGUAGGAUAUUACCACGACCCUGUGAUGGAAAUCUAAGGUUAAUGUAAUCAAGUAUCAACUUCUUGCAAUGACUGAUUGACUUCUUGAAUUAACAAGUUGGCUUCUGGAAUUAACAAGUUAGGAACUAGCUCUUCUGUCUGUUGUUACCUUAAUGGGGAGACCACUUUGUCCUUUUGAUGUUUCAGAACCUCUAUCAUUUUCCUUUGUGUUGCUGAUACAUGCCUUGCUUACCCUCCUUAGUACUGUCGGUGCUUGGAAGAUGUGAAUCUGGUCAACACAAUAGCAACAAGGAACUCAAUGACCCUUACAUCAAUGAUUACUCAUUUGGCUUCAACAACGAUGAUGAACCUAAGAAGAACUAUAUAGAAGAUGGUAACAUGGAAGAUUAUUCACUUUGAGGUCGAUGUAGAAAUAAAGGUCAGCCAUGAAAUGUUUAUUUCCACAAGUUAACUAGUAAGACAUUCUUUCACCACUAAGUCAGCCAUGAAAUGUUUAUUUCCACAAGUUAACUAGUAAGACAUUCUUUCACCACUAGUUCCUUCACAAACCCUCCAAGUUUACCUCAAUAUAAUGAUGGCGAACAAUAAAUUCUCUAAUUUUUUUCCUUUCUCAUUAAACAUACAACAUUACUAUAGUGUAUAUUUUACAUCAAUGAAUCUAUAUAUUAGGAUCAAGACUCGACCCA